CGAGGAUGUCUUAUGGUCUGAGGAUGCAAGUUUCCAGUACGGAGUCCAAUGAAAACUGCACAUCAAUGGCGUCUGCGUUCGUGCUGGUGACGUCCAUCCGCCGAUGACCAAGAAGACAACCGCUGGUUGCCUGGCUUCAUAGAGGAGUGUUCCUGUCUCCCUGGUGGAUGAGAGAAUGCAUUGCAGUCUGAUGGAUCAACAACAGAUGUGAUGUCACAAGGAUAAUGGCUACCAAGGAUCAUGGAAGGAGGACGAGGGUGUCUUAUGCUCUGAGGAUGCAUGUUUACAGGUAA